UUGACCUCAAAUCGGGUGAG
rnacentral:rRNA from 2 species